GACGAACGCUGGCGGCGUGCUUAACACAUGCAAGUCGAACGGAAAGGCCCCCACCAUUUUUGGUGGGGGUGCUCGAGUGGCGAACGGGUGAGUAACACGUGGGUGAUCUGCCCUGUACUUCGGGAUAAGCUUGGGAAACUGGGUCUAAUACCGGAUAGGACCAUGGUUUAGUGUCUCAUGGUGGAAAAAUUAUUGUUUUGGUGCAGGAUGAGCUCGCGGCCUAUCAGCUUGUUGGUGGGGUAAUGGCCUACCAAGGCGUCGACGGGUAGCCGGCCUGAGAGGGUGGACGGCCACAUUGGGACUGAGAUACGGCCCAGACUCCUACGGGAGGCAGCAGUGGGGAAUAUUGCACAAUGGGCGCAAGCCUGAUGCAGCGACGCCGCGUGGGGGAUGACGGCCUUCGGGUUGUAAACUCCUUUCGUUAGGGACGAAGCCACACCUUUUUUGGGUGUGGUGACGGUACCUUUGUUAAGAAGCACCGGCUAACUACGUGCCAGCCGCCGCCGUAACAC
rnacentral:rRNA from 1 species